rnacentral:lncRNA from 10 species
ACUCACAACUUGCUCAGUGCAAUCUGAAGAGCAUUUAUUGAGCACCUUGUUAUGGGGCACUGACAUAUGCUGCGGAGGAUAGAAGACUUCUCGGGGGGUUAUAAUGGGGCUGGGGAGCUCUUGAACUCAACUGACAUACUGUGUAAGUUAAACUAGUAAAUGCCAUGGGAUUUUUGGAUUAGAAGCAACAAAAACACAAACUAGGUUAAACAAUAAGAAUUUGUGGCAAAAAAUAAUGGGCUGUCGCAAGGAAUCGGGGGCAGGCAGGGCUGUACCAGGGACACAGGAACCGAUGCUGCCAAUAACAUUAGACUCCUGUUGGCCUCAGCGCUCUCUCCCAGCCUGUCUGGCUGUGGCUGAGGCUCUAUCUUUGUUUUCUGCUCGAUCUUUAUCUCUGUUUCUGCCUUCAGAUUGGCCUUGCCUCUCCUCUCCUGACCAUGGGAAACAUGGUCAUGUAUGUUAUAAUAUCUUGCAGUUUUAGCCCUGGGGAGAAACUGACUUUUUCACUUCCAGUUUCAAAAUUUCCCAAGAAGGCUUUUGAUUGGAUUCAAAUAUGUCAGCUCUUCCCGCUGGGACCAAUCCCCUGUGGCAAGGUGGGGGAGGGAAAUUUGAGAAGGGCCGUGAAUGGUCCAGCUUAGGUCAGAGGUACAGUUUCCACGUCCCCACCCCCACCCCCGCCCCGUCAACAAAACAGCUCUGCCCUGUAAGCCUGUGGGUGUGGGUGAAGGUGGAAGUGGGUCGGAAGAGGCUGCGGGCUCCACUUUGCCAGGAGUGUAGGGGGAAGGGCUGAGUUGAGGAAACAAUGGGUCUAGCACUUCUGCUGACCUUGUUUUCAGAAACAACCACAGGGCCUCUGGCCCCAGUGGAACUUGACUCAUAAAGGCGAGAGACUUGACUAUUGAAAAAGGUCUCCUAUGAAAUCUGAAUUUCACUUAAUCCUCAGAACAACUGUUGAGGGGGUUGUUACUACUCCCAUUUUAAGACGCGGGCUGUAGAGAGGGUAACCACCCUGUCCACAUUCACACAGCGAACACGUGGUGGGGCAGGGCUCAAGUCCAGGCGAUUCCAAAGUCCCCCCGUGCUGUUUGCGCCACGCGGUGCUCCCACCAAGCCCACUCCGCGGGGAGAAAAACCAUAGGCCUCGGAGGAGGAGCGGCUCCUCGCAGUGGGGUGGGGCAGAGGCCAGCAUGAGGCCUUGUUCACUGGAGGAUUCCACAGGCCUGGAACGGAAAGAAUGAGAGCUCUGCAGGCAGGCAGAGCCCAGGGCGCCCAGUGCCCCCAGGCUGCGACAGCCAAGUCGGUGGGCGCGCAUGGCGGGGCUUGAAGGAAAGGUCCAGAGCCGGUGGGAAAGGCCACGCCCCGGGGUAGAGCGCUUCCUUCCAGAUCCCGGCCUUUAACUGCAAUUCCGUUUUAAGGGCAACCCUGCCCGGUUCACACCUAGCCUUGAAGAUGACAGAUUGCACUGUGAGCAAUUUGCAGGGUGAGAACGGGAGCCUACGACUCCGCACCUGCACUGCCAGAGCCAUAAAUGCAGCAAAUCAUGGCCUAUAAAAUGUCACCACUGCUGAAGUGCAAUUUUCCAGGGGUCUUCUGCAGAGGGAACUCCACCACGGAGAGCGACCCUCGGCUCUGCAGCCUAAGAGGAAGGCCCCUGCAGGGUGGGGGAGGGAACAGGGAGGUCUUCCUCCCCAUCCCCUUCGUGCCACUGCUCCCCCCUUUGUGACCCCACUCUGCCACGUGGUAAAAGCUUCCGGGGGGAGGCAUUAGUUAUUUCUGUCUGAGGAGUUUUUGACCAAACGUAAACAUCAGAGGAGCGGGAACCCGAGCCCCGCCUGGGCUGGGCGGCAGCGACCCCGACGCCGCGGCGGCAGAGCCGGAGCUCGAAGCAGCCGCCGCUGUUGCGAGCCGCCCCUCCCCCGCCAGGCUGGCGAGCCCAUUUUCGCUUGGCCGGUCUCCGCGCUGCCGGAUGGAUUGCGCCCCACCCCCGCUCCUCUGCUCAGUCAUUCAGACUUGGAAAGUCAAUAACACGCUGACAUCAUCAGGGGUUUGUGUAUUAUUACACGGCUACUUUCCAGAGUACCUGGCAUUAUCUAAGAGAGGAGCACUCCGGCUGCCCAAGAAAGGGCCUGAACUGGGAGCUUGGCGGCCUCGGGGAGGGGCGGCUGCUCAGAGCCAGGCCUUUCCCUAGUGGGGAGGGCAUCUGCAAGGCACAAAUUAGAAACAGACUAUGAGCUUUUGCUUCACUAAAUGCAGAUGCACUUUAGAUAUCGAUACAUGCUUCAUUUUGCCUUCGGGUGCACUUAUAAAUCAUCCUUAAGUGACCUCUAUUUCUACCAAAGACAUCCACUUGGUCUUUAAGAAGCAUUCUUAGUGAUCCUCACAAAGGAAAAAAAAAAAAAGGAGAUAUCUUCUGUGACAGGAAGCCAAAGGCUGAUUUUCUUUUUUUUUUUUUUGAGACUCUUGGAGUGUGUGUGUGUGUGUGUGUGUGUGUGUGUGUGUGUGCGCGCGCGCGCGCGCGAUUCUCUGUUAUGUAAUCGCCAUCACGGGUGAUUAGGUCUUCUAGGUCUUUCCCUCCAGGGCUGAACUGGAUGGUUUGGUUGCUGUGUUUUUCUUAAGCCUCACACAGGGCAAACACACAUGAAAAACAUGUCCCAGAUUUAUGGCGCAAAACUGCUCUCCAAGCAAAUUGCCUUAGAAGACUGUCUCGGUUUUGGAGGAAGGAAAUAGAUGAAUUUGUUGCUAAUUAAGACUCCUUAUCUUACUACUCUGGCAUUUCCUUUUUUCUAGAACGAAUUUUUAAAAAUAAUUUUAUGUAGUUUAGAUGUUCCCUCCCUUCCCCCUUGCUGUAAUGGUACUUGAAAUAGCUUAAAUAACUAAUUGUAUAGACAACUGUACUUUUGUUCUACACACACACACACACACACACACACACACCAGUUAACGUGAAAGGCAGUAACUCAUACAACAUGGUACCUUUUCUGUUUGGCCAUACAGACUGUUUCCUUCUUUACACACACAGGGCUGAUCUCAUUUAAAUUCUCUUAGCAUCUUAAAUUGCAAAAAAUGGCAGCCAGCUGAAAACUGGCUACCUGGAGAAUUACAAGGGGAGAGAGCUGUUCUUUGGCCUCAUCUUAAUCUCUCUGUACCUCAAGCAGGGAGUCCAUCUCUGAUAAAAGUCUUUAGAGCUCCCCAGGAGGAAGCGAAGCAGACAUGUUUUUCAACAAUGUAACAAUUUCCCUAUGUGUACUUGAUCAUUUCGGGAGAACUUGUAGUAGAUUAUGACUACUUCCCUCCAGAUGGUCUGACGGAAAAACUCUCCCACCAGACUUGCACUUCUAAAAUCACUUCCCCAGGCCUGGCCCUCCCACCCCACCCCCAUUUCCCCUUUCGGAGGUGCAGGCAGCUGGGGAGGCCUGGAACACCAGACCUCCAAGAUGGCCCAGCAUGUGUUGAGUCUGGAGGCUGAAGCUGCUGAAGUGGGGAAGGGUCGGGGCACUCGCCUCCAACUGGGAGCUAUUUACCUAGGGGGUUUCCCUCAGCUCAGAGAGGAGCAUGCAGACCUGACAGUCUGUCUUUUUGGUUCUCAAGAUGAAGAAACUCUUCAGUCUCUAAGCACUUCCGGUUUUUAGCCCAGCUGACCCUCUCGUCUUUGCCUUAGCCUCUCCCAGACACAACUGCCUACUAUAGGGAUCCGUGCUAGGGAAGGACGUGGGCCACCUUGCUUUGGGUGCUGAGCUUCGGCAGCGGGCAACGGACUUCCUACCCUAGAGUUUCUGCCUAAGCAGGGGAGGACAAAGUCUGGAGGAUCAGCUUGGAUAGAACCUGAUAAGUAGGAGGCAGGCUACCAGUUGCCAAAGUUCAGCACCCCUAACUAGAGGCUGACAAGGUUCUUUGCCUAGCAAGGAACCUUAUAUUUGGCAGAGGAGGAGAGAAUUCAGUGAAGAAGAGCCAUGUUGGGGGGAUGGAGGAGCAGGAGUCUCUGCCCUGGACAAGCUCAGUGUGUUGGAACAGGUAGACACAGAAAUGACCGCCUGAGAGCAUGCCCUCUGCCCUUCAGUGAGGGCCUCUAAGGGGCUGGUCCUCCUGUGCUGUGGGAGGGAGAAGGAACUCCAGGUGACCGUGGCAUCAGGCUAUUCCUCCCACAGCUGGCCCUGGAGGAACCCUGGUAAUCUGAUGGGCUAGGAGCGGUCCUCCGGGAGUGACAUUAUUUCCCCCGUUC